UGCAGAUGCUCUAAAAUCCUCUCUCUUUUUCUUCUUUCUUUUCUCCAUCUAGUUCUUCCCCAUUUUCAACUUCUCGAACACAAACAAAACACUGUGUCUAAGAACAGCAUCGAGCCCCUAAUUCUCAUGGAAGAUUAUUCGAACUCAAAUAUUUUACCCUCACUUUCGAGGAGUAUUGGAAGUGUUUUGGAGUAAUGACAAUGGCUAGUUCCGGGGAUUUUGUAGAGAUUGUUUCAAAACUUUCAUCAGAUAAAGUUAAAACUCGAGAAGAAGGGAUUAAGCUGUUGAGUAAUUGGUUAGAAGGAGAAAGAUCGUUUGGAUUCUGCAAAAUUCUUAGUCAAAAUACUGCGAAACUCAAACCUAAUGAGAUUCCUCACUCAAAAACUUGGCCAUUCCUUAUAAGGGUUCUCAUUGGAUGUAUUUUCGUCUGAGAUAUCUAUGAGCAAGAAGCGUCAACCAAAGCUGAUUUUUGCUAAAACUCUUCGGAUUGCGAUUCAACAGGCUGAGGAUGCAAAAUUUUCAGGCAAGAUGCAGCUCUUAUUACCCGUUGUCAAGUCACUGUUUAGUCACAUAUGGGAUGUCUUGAGGGAUGUUCCAAGCUACCAGUCUGAAUACGGAAUCAUUCUCCGACAUCUUAUUGCAGUAAAAGAUUAUAGAUUUC